AAAUAUCCUGCGGUUCAACGAAAGACACGUGUCAAUAAGGACACAUCCACCCUUUAUAAAGCCUGGAAGGAUUCGCUCCUUCUCCAAAGCUUUGCUUCAAGUGACACCCAUUGCUUUCGUAAACGAAGAACACCGACUUCGAUUUCGCCGUUGUCGCUGGAGAGGUUGAAAGUUGAAACCCUAAGGUUCCAAUCCGAAGGUGCCCACCGCCGCCACAGAGGCGAUGCGGAGGACGUGAAGAUGGAUCAUGCUACGCACCCUCCACCCGACGAUGAGGAGAUUCAGGACUGGAACGGGAACUGUGACGAACCCAUGGAGGUCGCUCCACCUGAGACCGCUGCUCCUCUUCCAGCUGCUUCCGAAGAUAGCAACCAGGGGAUUGAGUCAAGGCUUGAGUCAUUACAGUUGGAAACCAAAGGAACUCAUGUGAAAGAUAAAGUUGGUGUUGUGCCCGAGGAAGUUGAAGAUUUUAAUGACCAUGAAGAAGAUAAGAAAAGACACUUGAAUGUUGUUUUUAUUGGUCAUGUCGAUGCAGGUAAAUCGACAACUGGAGGGCAGAUACUUUUCCUUAGUGGUCAGGUUGAUGACCGAACUAUUCAAAAGUAUGAGAAAGAAGCAAAGGAUAAAAGUCGUGAAAGCUGGUACAUGGCAUAUAUUAUGGACACAAGUGAGGAAGAGCGUGUGAAGGGAAAAACUGUUGAGGUUGGCAGAGCUCAUUUUGAGACAGAAAACACAAGAUUUACAAUUUUGGAUGCUCCGGGGCAUAAAAGCUAUGUGCCAAAUAUGAUUAGUGGUGCUUCUCAAGCUGAUGUUGGUGUUCUUGUGAUAUCUGCCCGAAAGGGUGAAUUUGAAACUGGAUACGAAAAAGGAGGACAAACACGUGAGCAUGUCCAACUUGCAAAGACAUUGGGUGUUUCUAAGUUGGUUGUGGUUGUGAACAAAAUGGAUGAGCCAACAGUUCAAUGGUCCAAAGACAGGUUUGGUGAAAUAGAAUCGAAGAUGACACCUUUCCUGAAAUCUUCAGGCUAUAAUGUCAAGAAAGAUGUUCAGUUUCUUCCCAUAUCUGGUUUGGCGGGCAUCAACAUGAAGACAAGAGUGGACAAGAGCAUUUGCAGUUGGUGGAAUGGACCAUGUCUUUUUGAAGUCUUGGAUUCUGUCGAAGUUCCCUUACGGGAUCCUAAAGGUCCUGUUAGGAUGCCGAUUAUCGAUAAGUACAAAGAUAUUGGAACAGUUGUGAUGGGGAAAAUAGAGUCGGGAACUAUAUAUGAAGGCGAUAGCUUGUUGGUCAUGCCCAACAAAGCCAAUGUGAAAGUGUUGUCUGUGCAGUGUGAUGAAAACAAAGUAAAGCAGGCUGGACCUGGUGAAAAUGUGAGGGUAAAACUGGCAGGAGUUGAAGAAGAUGAUAUAUUAGCUGGUUUUGUUCUUUCAAGUUUUGCAAAUUCAGUUGGUGCCGUCUCUGAAUUUAAUGCACAGUUGCAGAUUCUUGAAUUACUGGACAAUGCAAUAUUAAGUGCUGGUUACAAGGCAGUAUUGCACAUACAUGCAAUUGUUGAGGAAUGUGAGAUUACUGAUCUUAUAGAAGAAAUUGAUCUGAAGAAAAAGAAAGAGACAGAUACGAAGAAAAAGAAACAAAAAGGAAAGCCCCGUUUUGUUAAGAACGGUGCUGUUGUUUUGUGCCGUAUUCAGGUGACCAACUUAGUAUGCAUCGAGAAUUUCUCUGUUUUCCCCCAGCUUGGGAGGUUUACUCUUCGUUCUGAAGGAAAGACAAUUGCAAUAGGAAAAGUAGUUGAACUUCCUCCAGCUGGGAGCUCAACAUUCCCUUCAGCUUGAACAAUUUUGUUAUGAAUGGAAGAUAGGCUGUGUGUAUAGUUCAGAAGAGACUAUAUUGCUCGAAUAUGCUGUGUAUCGAACAGAUGCAUCCAGUUCAGAGUUGUUAAGCCUUGGCAGAUGCAUUUGAUGGAAUCUAAUCCCAUGGCAGCAUCAUAUAGAUUACUUAUGGAAUCAUAUACUACAUGACCUUUUUCCCAUGCAUGGAUGGGUCUCUAGUCCUUUGCGUUGACAAGGGAUGAUGAUGGUGAUGAUGACAUUAAACCGAAAAUUAUUACCGCAAUAGGCUGGUGGCAGUAGGUGGCGGUAGUGUUAUUAAUUUUUAUGUGACAUUGGUGGAGGGGUUGAGCCAUUCUCCUAGUGUUUGCCCACUUAAUAACUCUGUUACAACCCAUGCGUUCUCCGGCGGGAGGAGACAUGCACCGAGGAACCUUAAAACAAAGGGAUGGCGUUGUCGUGAGAGUGUCUCGAGUUCUUGAGCAAACCAAGCUUCGCCUCCUUCAUUUGGUUCAAAGUACUGAGGAUUUAUCCAUUUAACUGCGACAUCAAGGCCACGCCAAUUUCCUCGGGAUUUCAGCAUGAACAUAUCUGUUAGUUCUCAGAGAAAAAAUUUUCAAGCAUUUCCAUACCUCAUGAGGUUCAAUGGACCAUCCAUUGUGGAUUGCUUGACAUGUAAUGGCAGCUAAAUGAGGAUCAUUAACAGUUGCAGAAACUCUUGGUCUGAUCUCAGGACUAAGAGAAUAGUUUUGCUGAUCAAUAGCAGAAACUCGAUCCAAAAAUCCAUUAUCUCGGGCAAUUUCCAAGCAAUGCAUUAGGUAAUCUUGCAUUCUAUCAAGCUGACAUUUGUAAGAAACCUUGAGUUCUGUUUGUCGUCGUACUUCCUCCUCAAGCUCCGCAAUCUUGCACAAACAAUAGAAGGAAAACGAAAAUUCAAAAAUUUUAUAAAUUAAUUAUAUGAAGUGCUAACAGGCGUACCUGUUGUUGAAGUUUAGGCUUAGGCAAAGACCAUGUUUCAGAGAUAAUAGAAUAGAUGUUCGAAAUGCUUUGACGACAUCCGGUUUUCUGCUGUAGUUCUUCCUGUUGUAUAAUCGGAGAUCGAACUUUUAGUGACUUUCUUUGGUUUACUUGCUGUUCUUCUUGCUCACUGCUCAUUGUUCUUCAGUUUAACUUUGUUAGAAAUGAAUCAAAGAGAAGAAAAGGAGGAAAAGAACGAAGUUAGCCAAGUGUUUUUAUACUGAAUUUCUUGUUAUUUUUGUUCUAUGAGGAAACUGAUUAAUUUGUUGGUUAGUGAAGGAAAAUGACUAAUUAGACGAUUAAUUCAAUGAGAUUAAUAAGAUAAGUUGUGUUCUUGUUUUUUGGGAUGGUUUAUAAACGAAGAUAUUCAUGAGAAUGCAGGCCAUGUACGAAUCUCUGACUAUUGUUUAAUUGGUUGCAUAGUGAGAGUCAUUUGGGAGCUGAUUCUUAUGAUUUUUUAAUAUUUUAGUAGCUGAUAUUUCUAAGUAAUUGAUAAAUAGUUAAUAGUUUCACAUUAGUUAAUUAAGUACUGGUAAAUUAAUGUUUUUUUUGUAGUCACACUGCACAUGGAUAAAGUCACGAGUUUACUCAACUCCUUGCUGUUGCAAGGUGAGGGUGUGAUAUAAUUAAAAAGUCAAUGUACACUUUGACACGUGACUUGUUUAUAUUUAUAAAACUUAAAAUUAAAUUAAAUUAAAAUAAAACUACCCGUAAGUUACUAUAUAUUUUUAAUUUACUGAUCAAAUCAGUUUGUGAAAAACCUAUUAUGUGUAACAAUAGAAAGGAUGUUUUAACAAGUCAAAGUUACCAAGCAUUCAAAGAGGCCCAUUGAGAUUUUAUUUUGUUAAUUGUUGUAAUAUAAAAGAAAUUUGAAGAAUUUUGUCGGAUGGAGGAUGGAAGCAGGUUAAUUGUGACAAAGAUGACAACCAUUGGAUACUUCUUUGGAAAGUCAUCCGAAUGGUAGAUGAGAGGUGUAAGUUAAAAAUUACGCACUGUGUAAUAUUGUGCAAAAAUAUUAUGAAUAUGUUGUAUAGUAUUAUUUAUUAAAUCUUUGUGAAUCCUAAGUUAGGAGAAUUUAUCAUAAUUGAGUUAUAGUUCUUGAUAUAUUAUUUUGAAUUCAUGUGACAAAUUAUCGUUACUCUUUAUGUUAUCUGUAACACUGUAUCUUUCUUUUGGAGGGGAUGUGAUCUUUGUAAAAGUUAAAUAUUUGAGAGAUUUUGUUGGAUUUGGGCAAGCUUGAUCAAUUAGAGUGGAUUAACUAAAAUAAAACUACACUAAUGUCAACA